GGAAUGGUGCCAGAGAGAUUGUUCACGCUAAGUUCAAAAUAUUCAAGAAAAGGGAGAGAUGAAAACGGAAAAUCAUAGAGGGUACCAAAGACACUAGCAUUUGUAAUAUUCAACCUGUUUACCCUACCAUUAAAGCAAAUAACUCCGUACCAGCCGCUGCAUGCACCAGAACUUGGUUGCCAUGAAGCCAGUAAAGAAUUAUUCUGGUUCUUGAAAGUUGCUUUCCAUUUUAGGAGAGCAGUUGCUUCCUCAGUGGAUGCAAAAGUAAUUGUAAAGAGAGUAAAAAACUGAAGUAAAGAGAAUAUUUUUGAAACCAUCAUCAUGUACUGUUAAACGAUUUUGAGUUGAUAAUAUUUGUUGUUGAUGGAUGAAAAAUAUUCAAGGUACACUAUUUAUAUUGUAAUAAACUGAUACAAGCCUUGCGUGUAAACUAAGGCGUAGAAUCAGAAUGACUUUAUAGUCAAUGAGUCUUCGUCUUAAAUUUAUAAGUAAAAUAAACCAUCAAAAUGGAAAGGCUUUAUUUGUUGCUAAUCAUCUUAGUUUGGCUAAUGAUGUCAUUAUGUUUAUUCAUAUGAGCAAAUCUAUCUCAAAAACUAAACAAUAAUGCCCUGAACAUGGAUAAUUAAACAUCGAAGUGUGUGCUAUUUGAUGAUCAAUAAGUGGCUUAAUUGUCAAAGAAACGGGCAAAAAGCACAGGAGUAAGGCUUAAAUCAUACCCUAGACUAAAAAACGUUAGGUGAUUUUUCAAUCUGCCAAAGUCAUGAUGGUAACGGUGACGACCGAGUUAUAAUAUACAUUUACUGGUGAAAGGUAGCACGUACUCAAUACACAAGUUUAUAAAAGGUAACAUUUUUAGUCUUGGUCAAAUAUUUACUGAACUUUGUUUGUUAAAUAUUUUCAAAAUUCAUUAUUGAGAAUCUUACAUAUAAGUUAAAUAUAAGUUAAUGGGCGACUGACUCCCUUUUCGAGUCAAAUUAAAUAAAAGUCUUCAUGUUACUGUGUAAAUCACGGAAAGCACAAUCACUAAUUAUUCUUUAAGUAGUUGUCCCACAAGAUAAUUAAGAAUGUUUUCCUUCAGUAGUCAUUUUUAAUUUACAAAUUGUCUAUUUUUGCAAAUUGAGAGAGAAUUAUUUUUUAAAGUUCUUUACUUGUUGGGUGUGAGAACUAAUGUCUCACAUUGGUAGUUAAAAGGGUUAGGAAGCUACAUAUAAGGUGUAGGAUCUCUUAAUAGUGUGAGGCUUUCUGGGGGACAAUAUCACACCAUAUAAGGGUACGGUGUCUUUUGAUUGGUUUAGUCCAACAACUGGUAUCAAAACUCAGGUUCAGCGGGAUGAGUAGGAAGAUGUGGCGAGAUGCACACACAAGAAGAAGCUAGUUGUGGACUUCAGUAUGCAUAAAAAUACUCAAACGAUGUGCGCGGCAAAAAUAAAUCUCGAUGAUCCAUGGAUCGUGAUGACAGUGACGAGUCAUGUGGAAUUUAGUUUGAGGGGGAGAUUGUUGGGCAUGUGAACAAACGUCCUACAUUGGUAGCUAAAAAGAUCGAUCGAGAAGCUACAUUUAAGGGGUAAAAUCUCUUAACGGUGUAAGACCUUUUGGGGAAAAUCAUGCAGGCUAGAUCCAAAACGGACAAUAUCGCACCAUGAAAAAGUAUAGCAGUUCACUCUCUCUCCCACACGCCCACGCUCGCGCGCACACCCACACCCACACAUAUAUUUGUUAAUCCUGCUGCAUCAUGUCACCACUUGUUCUUGUUCUUUCCUAAGAAGCAACCGAAGCUCUGAGCUAGCCGGUGCUCCCCGGUAACUCGCUCUCCCUCCUGCUUUUCCUUUGGCCGGAGCUAGUGGAUGAACCCCCCUUCGCCGGAAGAUCACACUCUAUGUAUGAGGUCAACGAAACCCCCUUCGCCGGAGAAUCACACUCUGUAUAUGAGGUCAACUUUGUUUCUUUUUUGGUUAUGUAUGUAUAAUUGAUGUUUUCCUGAGCCGACAGUCUACAGGAAACAACCUGGUGUGCAUACACUUGGCCCUCUCCAGACUCCACUUUGUAGGAUUAUGUUGGGUUUGUUGUUAUGUAUGUUUAAUAGACGUUGAACUCCUUUGGUGAAAA